rnacentral:rRNA from 1 species
AUGUGUGUACCAAAAGACCAAGGAGGAAUGGGUUUUCGAGACAUACAUUGUUUCAAUCUGGACUUGUUAACCAAACAAGCGUGGCGCCUGCUUGAUAACCCUGAUUCACUAUGUGCUACAAUUUUGAGAGCUAAAUAUUUUCCAGAUGGAGAUUUAAUGAAUGCGAGUCUGAAAAAAGGAUCCUCUUUCACGUGGCAAAGCAUUAUGGCCGGAGUGGAUUCUCUCAAAAAAGGUUAUAUUUGGAGAGUUGGCAAUGGACAGAAUAUUGAUAUCUGGAGAGAUGCAUGGAUCCCGAAUGGGGCAAAUAGGAAAAUUAUCACUCCUAGAAGAGGGCAGCUUCUAACAAAAGUUGCUGAUCUUAUAGAUCCAAUCAACAAUUGCUGGGAUGAAGAUUUGGUAAGACAAACAUUGUGGCCAAUUGAUGUCCAGGGAGUGCUUACGACCCCCCUCCCCACGUAUGACAUGUCGGAUUUCAUAGCUUGGAGCUUUACAAAGAAUGGA